rnacentral:rRNA from 1 species
CCUACGGGAGGCAGCAGUGGGGGAUAUUGCACAAUGGGGGGAACCCUGAUGCAGCGACGCCGCGUGGGUGAAGAAGCGCCUCGGCGCGUAAAGCCCUGUCAUCAGGGAAGAAAAUGACGGUACCUGAAGACUAAGCCCCGGCUAACUACGUGCCAGCAGCCGCGGUCAUACGUAGGGGGCGAGCGUUAUCCGGAUUUACUGGGUGUAAAGGGGGCGCAGGCGGCGAUGCAAGCCAGGUGGGAAAGCCCGGGGACCAACCCCGGGACUGCUCUUGGAACUGCGUGGCGGGAGUGCAGGAGGGGUAGGCGGAAUGCCUGGUGUAGCGGUGAAAUGCGUAGAUAUCAGGAGGAACACCGGUGGCGAAGGCGGCCUGCUGGACUGCAACUGACGUUGAGGCCCGAAAGCGUGGGGAGCAAACAGGAUUAGAUACCCGGGUAGUC